AAAUAAAUAAAAAAUACAAAAAAAAAAAUUUUAACUUUUUUACUCUUAGGUUAAGAAUAAAGUGAUGAAUUAAAUACACUCCUUACACAUCAUUUCCGUUGAAUAAGAUCCUUUUCAAUCAUAGGACAAUGGAUACAAGGUCUUCAAUUAUUGGGCAAUGCUUGUAUGGUUCUUCAAUCAUUGGACGAUGGAUACAAGGUCUUCAAUUAUUGGGCAAUGCUCGCAUGGUUCGUCAAUUAUUGGACAAUGGUUACGUUUUUAUUCCAUUAUCUUCAAUCAAUAACACUAAACUGAUCUGAGCUGCUCCGGUUGUAACUGAUUUUGAUUAUAUUUAUUUUGAUACUAAUCGCAA